GCAUAGAUGGUUUAGUGGAAAAAUACUCGCCUGCCGCGCGGGCGGCCCGGAUUCAAUUCCCGCUGGAUGCA
rnacentral:tRNA from 1 species